UGGUCGUUUUCAACGUUCCCCAAAUACGACCCUGUGGAGCGUUUCCUAAAAUAACGCCUCUACCGGCAGCAGGAGAAGCUUUUGUCUACCGUCAUUAUAAAAUGAUAUAUUGCGCUAUCAUUUUGCAAUGAUGACACGUAUCAGAGUGUGAUUUUCACUUUAAAGGGGACAUUUAUAAUCGGGCUAUAAUCGGGUGUCUGGUGCAUCUACCAACUCAGAAAACAUGAAAAAUGACAAUCCAGUAACUUUGUUUACAUGAGCCUAUCUCUGCAAGCCUGUGAGAAAACGAGCCAUUCAGAUUUCGCUCGCUUUCUGAUGUAGGUAGUCAUUCUUAUUAUAAUAUUACCGCCCCCUUUUCUGAACGUGUCCACCCAUGGCGCUGCCACCAUUUUUGUUUUCGCAAGUGACAUAUGUGAAUUAGUUCCGACACCAUGGCAAAAGUAAGCAAAGCAUGCUAAGUGUUCUGUUGUUGGCUGCACAGAGCAGCACAGAACACUGUUCCCAGCCUGACAGGAGAGCAAUGGAUUUAUUUUGUUUUCAAUGGAAAUCCACCAGACUGAACGAGGCAAAGCUGCAAAUAAAGACAUUGUAAGUACCGUUAUAUUUUAAGUAAGACCUCAGGGACCUGUGGCAACUUAAAAGUAGGUAAAACAUCAUUGUGAAACGUUUGUCCAUUCACGCAAAGAAAGCAAUGUGUAUGGCUUGUAAACAUGUGACGGGAUUGUCCUGUGUAACAUUACUUUCACUUAAAGAAAACGCGAUGCGUUUGUCUUGAGUAUCUUCACUUAUAGAAAGCAGUGUGUAUGGUCUGUAAACACGCGAUGCGUUUGUCUUGAGUAUCUUCACUUAUAGAAAGCAGUGUGUAUGGUCUGUAAACACGCGAUGGGUCUGUCAUGGGUACUUUCACUUAUAGAAAGCAGUGUGUAUGGCCUGUAAACACGCGAUGGGUCUGUCAUGAGUAUCUUCACUUAUAGAAAGCAGUGUGUAUGGUCUGUAAACACGCGAUGGGUCUGUCAUGGGUACUUUCACUUAUAGAAAGUGUUAUGUCUUAAUGUAGACAAGAAGCUGGAGACUGUGGAUUCCUUUCAGUAACUUUAUUAAUGGACUCUAGCAGUCAGCAUAACAUGCAGGCACAUGCUCAGUAUCUCUACUCUCUUCUUCUUUCUUCUCUCUGCAUCUCUAUGCAACUCAAGUAGAUCGAGUGCCACCUAGCGGUACAUUAAUAUAACAACAUCACAUAAUCCCCUUUUAGUUAAAUGAUGCUCCUGUGACCAAUAAGUAACAUGAAACAGAAUCAAGAACAGCAAAUCUGCCAUGCAUCAACAAUUUCACAUAAAAUGAAUUACACUAAGCAACACAUUAAAUGAAUGCAGAAGAGUAUUUAACGUAACAAGCAAUAUGAACCAACUACUCAAUUACUAUUCAGCACUUGACUCUCAUGUAAGUGUAUGAUGUGUUUGCAAAAGUCCAUGUCAAUUUCUGUGACUAAUAACAUAAUCCUUUAGACAACCGGACUCACGUCUUUGACGUUGUUCUCUUGGACCAGCAUCAGAAGACAGUGAAUUUCCAGACAAAGGAACACGAGAGGGCAUCACGUUUUCAGCAUUGGCCGUCAUUCCAUUAUCUAGCUCUCUAGUUGGCACGGGUGCAAGACAUGAUGCAUUCCACUUUUUUCCAUCAUCCAAGAGGUAAGUGUAAGGACCAACUUUUUUCCUGACCUCAAUUGGAGGAGUGAACUUUGGAUAAGCUUUUGGUACAUGUACAGACUUUUUAAUGCGCACUUUAUUCCCUGGUCGAAAAGAGAAAUGUCGCACACGAUGCUUGUGGUCAAAGCGAGAUUUCAUGAUAUCCUGACGUGAGGAAACACGCUCUGUGGUGUCGGCUCAUGACCAGAAGGUGAAGGUUUCAGGACAUUGAGACGGGAAUGCAGCAAACUCAGGGGAAGUGAACUGAGGCCCAUUAUCACUGACCAGAGUGGUCGGGUUGCCGUGUCUACUGAAGACAGAGAAUGAUGACCAUCAUCUUUUGGAAUGCAGCUGGAGCAGACACCAAGCCAUAAGGUACCCUGCAGUAUCUGAAGAGGCCCUCGUGUGUAAGAAAAGCAGUGAGGUCCCGGCAAUCUUCAUGAAGAGGUAACUGAUGGUAUGCACUUUCCAAGUCUAUAGUUGAAAACACAGUCGCACCUUGCAGUAAUGUCAUCAUCUCCUCCAUGUGUGGCAAUGGAUAGCUGUCUACUAUAACUGCCUUGUUGGGCCCUCGCAAGUCCACACACAUGCGGAUCCCCCCCGUUUUCUUUUGGACCACAACAAUCGGAGAAACCCAUGGAGAAGAAUCAAUCCGUUCGAUCACACCAGCCUGUAAGAGACGUUCCAGUUCUGCGGAAACAGCAUCUCUCACGGAGAAAGGUAAGCAACGCAAUUUGCAUCUGACAGGGGGUACAGAGUCAGAAAUGUUCACCUUGUGCGUGAAGUUGUUCACACAGCCUUAUGCAGCACGCUGUGAUGGAGAAGUGUAGAGCACAGACUGGAGCGGAUUGUGCCGACGGCAGCACAGUGUGUCCAGUAAAUUGCAGCUGAAGUCCCUUAAUCAGAUGCAUGCCUAGCAAAGCAGUGCCAGUGUCGACAAUGAAGAAGU